GAUGAACGCUGGCGGCGUGCCUAAUACAUGCAAGUCGAGCGAACAGACGAGGAGCUUGCUCCUCUGACGUUAGCGGCGGACGGGUGAGUAACACGUGGAUAACCUACCUAUAAGACUGGGAUAACUUCGGGAAACCGGAGCUAAUACCGGAUAAUAUAUUGAACCGCAUGGUUCAAUAGUGAAAGACGGUUUUGCUGUCACUUAUAGAUGGAUCCGCGCCGCAUUAGCUAGUUGGUAAGGUAACGGCUUACCAAGGCAACGAUGCGUAGCCGACCUGAGAGGGUGGUCGGCCACACAGGAGCUCAGUCCCGGUCUAGGCGCCGACGGGCGGCAGCAGUAGGGUAGCGUACGCAAUGCGGGAAAAUCUGACGGAGCAGAGCCGAGUGAGUGAUGAAGGUCUUCGGAUCGUAAAACUAUGUGAUUCGGGAAAAACCAAUGUGUAAGUAACCAGGCCCGCCUUCACGGUACCUAAUCAGAAAGCCACGGCUAACUACGUG
rnacentral:rRNA from 1 species